rnacentral:misc_RNA from 1 species
UUAUUAAAUUGUGAUUGUUAAAAGAAAACAUUCUUAACAUUCCAACAAAGUACACAUGUGUUUCUAAUGUAUACUAUAUUAACUUUUCUAUGUUAAAAUCCAAAUUUUAAACAAUGAAUUCCUCAAUUUUUUUCUCACUGAAACCAAGAAAAUUUUUCUCUUUACCAAAAAUCCCUUCAGGGUCUGUUUUAUGUCGGAAACGACUUCAACUGCCAUCACCGCAUGCUUCAAAAAGACUAUGCACCGAAAAUAAGGAAGUUAACAAAAGUGAACAUAUAAAAUUAAUUUAUCCAGCUCCUGUAAUUUUUUGGAAGAAGGUACAGGAGUUUUUGGAAAAACAUUUCUCAGAUGAGCCAUUUUAUCAAAUGUUUAAAGUUCAAUCAAGCCCCGAUGUUUGCCUGGACAAGCGGGAGGCAAUAUCUGAAACGUUACGAAAUAACGUGUCUGUGAUUGCUGUCGAAUGCUCUUCAGGAAAGUCAAAUGUAUUUGUCAUCUAGUUAGUAGGAGUUUCGCUGAAUGGAGUUCUGUACGAAAAAGACUUAGAAAAGCCUAUGUACUUUCAUAAUAAGAAACUGGCAAAAAUUUCAGAAAUUAUUAUGGAUAUUAAUAAAGAGUGCGACACGUUUAAAAGAUUUUGUGUAAGUGAAAUAUUCGAAUGUAGAAGUCUGGCGGUACAUAAAGAAUACAGGGGUUUAGGCCUUGGAGGGAAAAUUCUCAAAAAGAGCGAAAAAGAAGCAAAAAAGGCCGGAUAUAAAGUCAUGAAGACUGAAGCCACGAGCACCUACACGUAUAAAAUCCUUCGGAAACUAAAUCACGAAGUGAUUUUAGAAAAGAAAUACUCAGAUUUUUUAACAUAUGAAAAAACACUAAUGGAUAUCGAACAUCUCCCUGAGCAUACACACAUAAGGAUUAUGGUGAAAGAAUUCAACUAAACCUACCUUUUUGGACAGAGUAUACAGUUGUUCUGACACCAAUAUUAAAAUAAUUAUAUUUAUGGGACCUACAAAAAAAAAAAAAAAAA